CUGGAAUUUCACUUAGAUUGGCCAAAAGUGGGAGAGUUGGUUUGACCAGAGCAACUAAAAGUUUAAUUGGGUAACCUGGAAAAUUGCCUUUAAUUCUUUUUCUUUUGCCCCCUGCUACUGCACAACAGAAAGAAAAAUAUUUAAUUAAUGAAGGUGAAGUUCUCCACAUGGAAUAAUCAUGGAAGAAGAUAAGACACUGAAGUUAACCUCACCCCGUCAGAGAGCAGGGUGAGGGGACCUGUUGCCCCUGAGCCUCUCAGCAGCCCCCUUCCACCCUCAGUCUCAGAUCUGGAUGGCUGCCUUCCACAAGGCCCCUCUUUCUGCCCUGACUGCCCAUUGGCCACAGAUUAAGAAACCGAGGCACAGAGUGGUUACAUUAACCUGCUGAAGAUCACGCAGUAAAAUGGCAGAGCGUGGAUUUGUACCCAAUCGGGCUCUAGAGCCCACAGGCUUAACCACCGCACUAUAUUGCCUUGCAAACUCAAGCAAAUUUAAGUCUGGUUUUUCUCUCUUGCAACGGAAAGAUACCCUCUCUCCUCUACUUACCUGCAGAAGUCUCAGCUCCCAGCGGUUUCUCUUCUUCUGGCCAGCCUCCGCUCUCUGAUCCAUGAAAAGAAAACUCUUCCAGGCUGG
rnacentral:lncRNA from 1 species